rnacentral:rRNA from 1 species
CCUACGGGAGGCAGCAGUGGGGAAUAUUGGACAAUGGGGGCAACCCUGAUCCAGCCAUGCCGCGUGUGUGAAGAAGGCCCUCGGGUUGUAAAGCACUUUCAGUGAGGAAGAACGCCUGGUGGUUAAUACCCAUCAGGAAAGACAUCACUCACAGAAGAAGCACCGGCUAACUCCGUGCCAGCAGCCGCGGUAAUACGGAGGGUGCGAGCGUUAAUCGGAAUUACUGGGCGUAAAGCGCGCGUAGGUGGCUUGAUAAGCCGGUUGUGAAAGCCCCGGGCUCAACCUGGGAACGGCAUCCGGAACUGUCAAGCUAGAGUGCAGGAGAGGAAGGUAGAAUUCCCGGUGUAGCGGUGAAAUGCGUAGAGAUCGGGAGGAAUACCAGUGGCGAAGGCGGCCUUCUGGACUGACACUGACACUGAGGUGCGAAAGCGUGGGUAGCAAACAGGAUUAGAUACUCCUGUAGUC